rnacentral:rRNA from 1 species
GAUGAACGCUGGCGGCGUGCCUAAUACAUGCAAGUCGAGCGAACAGACGAUGAGCUUUCGCCUCUACCGUUAGCGGCGGACGGGUGGGUAGCGCGUGCAUAGCCUACUAAUAAUACGGGGGUAACUACGGGAGACCGCAUACACUACCGGCGAAUAUAUUGAACGGCAUGGAUCAAUAGUUAAUGACGCCUUUGCUGUCACUUAUAGCUGGAUCCGCGCCGCAUUAGCUAGUUGGUAAGGUAACGGCUUACCAAGGCAACGAUCCGUAGCCGACCUGAGAGGGUGAUCGGCCACACUGGAACUGAGACACGGUCCAGACUCCUACGGGAGGCAGCAGUAGGGAAUCUUCCGCAAUGGGCGCAAGCCUGACGGAGCAACGCCGCGUGAGUGAUGAAGGUCUUCGGAUCGUAAAACUCUGUUAUUAGGGAAGAACAAAUGUGUAAUUAACUCCGCACGUCUUGACGGUACCUAAUCAGAAAGCCACGGCUAACUACGUG